AUACGGAGGACGCGAGCGUUAUCCGGAUUCAUUGGGUUUAAAGGGUGCGCAGGCGGCCGUGCAAGUCAGCGGUGAAAGCCCGGGGCUCAACCCCGGAAGUGCCGUUGAUACUGCAUGGCUGGAAUGCGGUCGAGGCGGGCGGAACGUGGCGUGUAGCGGGGAAAUGCGUAGAUAUGCCACAGAACGCCGAUAGCGGAGGCAGCUCGCCAGGCCUGCAUUGACGCUCGGGCACGAAAGCGUGGGGAUCGAACAGGAUUAGAUGCCCUGGUAGUCCACGCCGUAAACGAUGGGCGCUCGUCGUCGGCGGCAGACAGUCGGCGGCCAAGCGAAAGCGAUAAGCGCCCCACCUGGGGAGUACGGUCGCAAGGCUGAAACUCAAAUGAAUUGACGGGG
rnacentral:rRNA from 1 species